rnacentral:tRNA from 1 species
AUUCUUUUAGUAUAAAAAAUAUAACUGAUUUCCAAUCAGUAGAUCUUAAAUUAAAGAAAGAAUA